AAACCGAAACCAACUGCUGUGGG
rnacentral:siRNA from 1 species